GAGGCCGUGGUGCAACUUGGAGUCUUAGGAAGAAUAUAUCUUAAGGCGAGGAAUUAACAUCACAGGUUUGGGACCUGUAGAUCGGGGUUCAAAUCCUCGCGGCCUCA
rnacentral:tRNA from 1 species